AUCAUUCUUUUCUUGGGGUUGCACUCCUGUCCAAUGAGCGCAUAGUGACAGCAGUCCUACUAACACCUACACAGCAUGCUUACAUCAACUAGAGCUUUGUUUUAUAUUGGUGCAAUGUUUGGAAAA